rnacentral:rRNA from 1 species
GGCGGCGUGCUUUAUGCAUGCAAGUCGAACGGUCCUUCACCCUUCGGGGUGAAGGAUAGUGGCAAACGGGUGAGUAACGUCUAAGUAAUCUGCCCUUAAGUAGGGGAUAACUCUGAGAAAUCAGAGCUAAUACCGUAUGUGGUGCUGGGGGUAAUGCUUCAGUACUAAAGCCUUCGGGCGCUUGGGGAGGAGCUUGGGUCCGAUUAGCUAGUUGGUAGGGUAAUGGUUUACCAAGGCAAUGAUCGGUAGCUGGUCUGAGAGGAUGGUCAGCCACACUGGGACUGAGAUACGGCCCAGACUCCUACGGGAGGCAGCAGCAAGGAAUUUUGUGCAAUGGGCGAAAGCCUGACACAGCGACGCCGCGUGGGGGAUGAAGGCUUUCGAGUUGUAAACCCCUUUUCUCAGGGAGGAAUAAUGACAGUACCUGAGGAAUAAGCCAUGGCUAACUACGUGCCAGCAGCCGCGGUAAUACGUAGGUGGCAAGCGUUAUCCGGAUUUACUGGGCGUAAAGAGGGCGCAGGUGGCUUUUCAAGUCGGAUGUAAAAUCUCCCAGCUUAACUGGGAGGGAUCAUUCGAUACUGUUAAGCUAGAGGACAACAGGGGGAGGUAGAAUUCCCGGUGUAGUGGUGAAAUGCGUAGAUAUCGGGAGGAAUACCAGUGGCG